rnacentral:rRNA from 1 species
AUUGAACGCUGGCGGCAGGCCUAACACAUGCAAGUCGAACGAGUGGCGGACGGGUGAGUAAUGUCUGGGAAACUGCCUGAUGGAGGGGGAUAACUACUGGAAACGGUAGCUAAUACCGCAUACCCUCAGAUGUGCCCAGAUGGGAUUAGCUUGUUGGUGGGGUAACGGCUCACCAAGGCGACUAUCCCUAGCUGGUCUGAGAGGAGGACCAGCCACACUGGAAUGUAGACACGGUCCAGACCCCUACGGGAGGCAGCAGUGGGGAAGAGUGCACAAGGGGCGCAAGCCUGAUGCAGCCAUGCCGGGUGUAUGAAGAAGGCCUUCGGGUGGUAAAGUACUUUCAGCGGGGAGGCGUGACCGGCAGAAGAAGCACCGGCUAACUCCGUGCCAGCAGCCGCGGUAAUUC